rnacentral:rRNA from 1 species
AGGGUUUGAUUCUGGCUCAGGACGAACGCUGGCGGCGUGCUUAACACAUGCAAGUCGAACGGGAUCCACUGGGCUUUUGUUUGGUGGUGAGAGUGGCGAACGGGUGAGUAAUGCGUGACUAACCUGCCGUAUGGUUGGGGAUAGCUCCUGGAAACGGGUGGUAAUACCCAAUGCUCCAGCUGGAUGCAUGUCUGGUUGGGAAAGCUGUUGUGCCAUAUGAUGGGGUCGCGUCCUAUCAGCUUGUUGGUGGGGUGAUGGCCUACCAAGGCGUCGACGGGUAGCCGGCCUAAGAGGGCGACCGGCCACAUUGGGACUGAGAUACGGCCCAGACUCCUACGGGAGGCAGCAGUGGGGAAUAUUGCACAAUGGGCGCAAGCCUGAUGCAGCGACGCCGCGUGCGGGAUGGAGGCCUUCGGGUUGUAAACCGCUUUUAUAGGGGGGCAAGCUAUGCCUGUGUGGUGUGGUGAGUGGACUUUAUGAAUAAGCACCGGCUAACUACGUGCCAGCAGCCGCGGUAAUACGUAGGGUGCAAGCGUUGUCCGGAUUUAUUGGGCGUAAAGGGCUCGUAGGCGGUUUGUUGCGUCUGGUGUGAAAGCUUACUGCUUAACGGUAGGUUGCGCUGGAUACGGGCAGGCUUGAGUGCAGUAGGGGAGACUGGAAUUCUCGGUGUAACGGUGGAAUGUGUAGAUAUCGGGAAGAACACCUAUGGCGAAGGCAGGUCUCUGGGCUGUUACUGACGCUGAGGAGCGAAAGCGUGGGGAGCGAACAGGAUUAGAUACCCUGGUAGUCCACGCCGUAAACGUUGGGCACUAGGUGUGGGGGGCCUUUUCCGGGUUUUCCGCGCCGUAGCUAACGCAUUAAGUGCCCCGCCUGGGGAGUACGGCCGCAAGGCUAAAACUCAAAGGAAUUGACGGGGGC